rnacentral:tRNA from 1 species
GUCCAGGAAUGGGAAUCGAACCCACAGUGUUCCGCUUACCAGUCAGAUUCCAUGUCCACUAGGCUACCCUGGA